rnacentral:misc_RNA from 1 species
GAACGCACCUUGCGCCCCUUGGAUAUUCCGAAGGGCAUGCCUGUUUGAGUGUCAUUAAUAUCUCAACCAUACUCAUGUUGAGGGUAUGGCUUGGACGUGGGGGUUACAGGCCCUUAUUUGUGGUCUGCUCCCCUGAAAUACAUGAGUGGCAAAGCCCCUCCAUUAGGUGUGAUACUUAUCUGCAUCUAUGGGGAUCUGCUGGAUCAUAUGUUGUUGUUGUUGUUCUUGACCUCAAAUCAGGUAGGACCACCCGCUGAACUUAAG